rnacentral:rRNA from 1 species
CCCUUAGAUGUUCUGGGCCGCACGCGCGCUACACUGUUUGAUUCAGCGAGUCUUAACCUUGACCGAAAGGUUUGGGUAAUCUUCUAAAGUCAAACGUGAUGGGGAUCGAUCAUUGCAAUUAUUGAUCGUGAACGAGGAAUUCCUAGUAAAUGCAAGUCAUCAGCUUGCGUUGAUUACGUCCCUGCCCUUUGUACACACCGCCCGUCGCUACUACCGAUUGAAUGCUCAGGUGAGCCAUUCGGACUUUCAUCAUGCUGGUUUCCAGUUUUGAUGAAGGAAAGUCUUGCGAACCUUAUCAUUUAGAGGAAGGAGAAGUCGUAACA